AUUGGCGCGCCAGAUAUGGCGUUACCUAGGAUGAAUAACUGGAGUUUUUGGAUCCUUCCUUUCGCCUUCGCCAUUUUACUCGGUUCA
rnacentral:tRNA from 1 species